GAUGAACGCUGGCGGCGUGCCUAAUACAUGCAAGUCGAGCGAACAGACGAGGAGCUUGCUCCUCUGACGUUAUCGGCGGAUGGGUGAGUAACACGUGGAUAACCUACCUAUAAGACUGGGAUAACUUCGGGAAACCGGAGCCAAUACCGGAUAAUAUAUUGAACCGCAUGGUUCAAUAGUGAAAGACGGUUUUGCUGUCACUUAUAGAUGGAUCCGCGCCGCAUUAGCUAGUUGGUAAGGUAAUGGCUUACCAAGGCGACGGUGGGUAGCCGACCUGAGAGGGUGAGCGGCCACACUGACACUGAGACACGGUCCAGGCUCCUACGGGGGGGAGCAGCAGGGAAUCUUCCGCAAUGGGCGAAAGCCUGAGGGAGCAACGGCGCGUGAGUGAUGAAGGUCUUCGGAUCGUAGAACUCUGUUAUUAGGGAAGAACAAAUGUGUAAGUAACUAUGCACGUCUUGACGGUACCGAAACAGAAAGCCACGGCUAACUACGUG
rnacentral:rRNA from 1 species